ACAAGCGGUGGAGCAUGUGGUUUAAUUCGAUGAUACGCGAGGAACCUUACCUGGGCUCAAAUGUAUGUUGACGUAUUCUGAAAGGGAUACUUCUUCGGACAAUAUACAAGGUGCUGCAUGGUGUCGUCAGCUCGUGCCGUGAGGUGUCGGGUUAAGUCCCAUAACGAGCGCAACCCCUAUCAUUAGUUGCCAUCAGGCCAAGCUGGGGACUCUAAUGAAACUGCCUACGCAAGUAGUGAGGAAGGUGGGGAUGACGUCAAAUCAGCACGGCCCUUACGUCCAGGGCUACACACGUGCUACAAUGGCCGGUACAAAGGGCAGCUACCUGGUGACAGGAUGCUAAUCUCAAAAGCCGGUCUCAAUUCGGAUCGGAGUCUGCAACCCGACUCCGUGAAGCUGGAAUCGCUAGUAAUUGCGCAUCAGCCAUGGCGCGGUGAAUACGUUCCCGGGCCUU
rnacentral:rRNA from 1 species